AAAGAUGUAAUCCGAUUCCUCAAAGAACGCACUGUGCUGUGUGCAUAACCAGUUUUACCUGAUUGCCUUGGGUGAAGAGUGUGCUUUGACCCUUUUGCUAUCUGCCAGGAUAUGAAGAGCUGACUAAGCAGGUUGUGUUUCACAUGAAUGUGGGUAGGAUGUGCUACAGCAACAUGACAUUUUGAUUUGGCGAAUAUGUCAAUACCGCAGAGUUCCCAGGUGAAGACAUUAUAUUCUUGAUAUUCCUAGCCUAAAUGCUAUCAUAAAUGGGCCCUGUUUUGCUUUCUUGGUGAUUUUUGGUAGGC
rnacentral:lncRNA from 1 species